UAUUUCGUUAGAACCUCCGUACCUUCGACUAUAACAUCGUUCUGGGCGUUAGACAUUUAAGAGGAGGUUGCUAAGUAAUUUUUUUUUUCUUUUCAUCGGGAGUGUCGCAUUUCCUUCUAAAUUAUCGUAGCGUAAUUAGUCCUGUUGUGAGGUGCUUACGAAAACGUUUAUCACGCGACUAGAAUACUACAGUUGGCGCUUGAGAUUUCGUUGUCACUUCGUUGGCCAAGCUAUAAUAAACCCCGGGCUUCUGCAAGGAUUUGUUUGGUGCGAGUCUGUUCUAUAAUGGUAAAGCUCCACGCAUGAUAAAGCUGCUCUCUCUAGCAACAGUUGGUGUACUAUUGCCAUACAGGUGUUCUUGGUCUUGGUUUCCCUAGCAGUUUUCCUGCGCCUCAGCGCUCUGGAAUGUAGUCUGAGCAAGGAAUUGCCAUACUUCUUGGAUUUUUUUUAUGUACCUGACUUAGCCAGUUCAUCAGCUCGUUUAUUUCCAACAAUACCAACAUGUGAAGGAACCCAGCAGAAGUUAACUGCCUUCUGUUUUUGUUUUAAUAAA